UACGAAGGGGGCUAGCGUUACUCGGAUUGACUGGGCGUAAAGGGCGCGUAGGCGGCUUGUACAGUCAGACGUGAAAUUCCUGGGCUCAACCUGGGGGCUGCGUUUGAUACGUGCGGGCUUGAGUUCGGAAGAGGGUCGUGGAAUUCCCAGUGUAGAGGUGAAAUUCGUAGAUAUUGGGAAGAACACCGGUGGCGAAGGCGGUUCUCUGGGCCUGUUCUGACGCUGAGGAGCGAAAGCGUGGGGAGCGAACAGG
rnacentral:rRNA from 1 species